AUUGAACGCUGGCGGCGUGCUUUACACAUGCAAGUCGAACGGUAACAGGUUAAGCUGACGAGUGGCGAACGGGUGAGUAAUGCAUCGGAACGUGCCCGAUCGUGGGGGAUAACGCAGCGAAAGCCGCGCUAAUACCGCAUACGAUCUGAGGAUGGAAGCGGGGGACCGUAAGGCCUCGCGCGAUCGGAGCGGCCGAUGUCAGAUUAGGUAGUUGGUGGGGGAAAGGCUCACCAAGCCAACGAUCUGUGGCUGGUCUGGGAAGACGACCAGCCACAACGGGAACUAGACCCGGCCCAGACUCCUACGGGAGGCAGCAGUGGGGAAUUUUGGACAAUGGGCGAAAGCCUGAUCCAGCAAUGCCGCGUGCAGGAAGGAGGCCUUCGGGUUGUAAACUGCUUUUGUACGGAGCGAAAAGGUCUCCUCUAAUACAGGGGGCUCAUGACGGUACCGUAAGAAUAAGCACCGGCUAACUACGUGCCAGCCGCCGCCGUAA
rnacentral:rRNA from 1 species